UACGAAGGGGGCUAGCGUUGCUCGGAAUCACUGGGCGUAAAGCGCACGUAGGCGGAUUGCUAAGUCAGGGGUGAAAUCCUGGAGCUCAACUCCAGAACUGCCUUUGAUACUGGCGAUCUCGAGUCCGGGAGAGGUGAGUGGAACUGCGAGUGUAGAGGUGAAAUUCGUAGAUAAUCGCAAGAACACCAGUGGCGAAGGCGGCUCACUGGCCCGGUACUGACGCUGAGGUGCGAAAGCGUGGGGAGCAAACAGG
rnacentral:rRNA from 1 species